GUCCGCACCGUAAACGAUGGAUACUAGGUGUCCGGGGCUUCGGCCCUGGGUGCCCAAGGGAAACCGAUAAGUAUCCCACCUGGGGAGUACGUCCGCAAGGAUGAAACUCAAAGGAAUUGACGGGGGCCCGCACAAGCGGUGGAGCAUGUGGUUUAAUUCGAUGAUACGCGAGAAACCUUACCUGGGCUAGAAUGCCCUCGACCGCCCCGGAAACGGGGUCUCCCUUCGGGCGAGGUGCAAGGUGCUGCAUGGCUGUCGU
rnacentral:rRNA from 1 species